UCAGCUGCUGCGCUAAUCUUCUAUCACAGAGAGGACUGACAACCAGAGGUGUUUCCAGAGGCCAACAACACAGAGCAGGGAAGAGCGUGUUCCACGACGUGCAGAAAGGAUUGUGGAAAGUUGACUGAUGAGCGCAAGCUGCAUCUGUUCAACAGUUUCUACACUGUCCCAUACGAGAAACAACAAGCGUUGAUUCUCUCCGGCUUAGAAGAGCAUGAGGUGAAACGGAGAUAUAAACCUGAGGAUACAAAGGAGAACAAACGACGGUAACAACCCUUCAAAUACCAUGUACAGCAAGCAGGCCAGAGAUUGAAUGUGUGCAAGGUCACUUUCAUGUCUGUGUUCCAGCUAACCAUCAGCCGUCGUCAGGCAAGUUAAAAUAUGAAUUAAUGUCUAUAUGAAUAUCAAUUACAAACACAUUUUAUUCUCUGUACUCGUUUUUAAGAACCUGCUGAUUGAAAUGUAAUUGUUUUGGUCAGGUUGUUCAGGAAAAGUUAGGAGUUCAAACUGAGGCAGGUGAGGUUGCAGGGUCUCCAGAUCAGGCUACUGAGGCUCGGCCUCCUUUAGAAGAUGCCGCCCCAGGGUAGCAUGAGGGGAUUGCACAUCGAGGGUCCAUUGAGGUGGCAAGCUGCAUAUUGAAGUGGGUGAAGACAAAAUUCACGCCACUCACCAAACCAGAGGUGCGCAAAUUGAUCAUCUUCAGUGACAGAUGCUGUGGGCAGAAUAACAACUGGCGGA